AUGUGUCAUGUUUGCUUCACUGUUUUGUGUCGAUUUGAAUUUAAUAAAAAACUCGUGAAAUCUACUGACAUUCUCGUAUGCGUAUGCCUCUGUUUCAGAUUCUUUUGUGACGAUGGUGUAUUGAUGUAUAGAUUUAUGAACUGUUUUAUGUUUUUGAGUUGUCUUGCUUCUGAAAUUACGCACAUGUGA